UACGUAGGGGGCAAGCGUUGUCCGGAAUCAUUGGGCGUAAAGCGCGUGUAGGCGGUUACGUAAGUCUGCUGUGAAAGUCGGAGGCUCAACCUUCGAAAGCCGGUGGAUACUGCGUGACUUGAGUACGGAAGAGGAGAGUGGAAUUCCUGGUGUAGCGGUGAAAUGCGCAGAUAUCAGGAGGAACACCAACGGCGAAGGCAGCUCUCUGGGACGUUACUGACGCUGAGACGCGAAAGCGUGGGGAGCGAACAGG
rnacentral:rRNA from 1 species